rnacentral:tRNA from 1 species
GGCUCGGUAGCUUAGUUGGAAAAGCACUUGUCUAGCGAAUAAGGAUCGUGUCGUGAGUUCAAAUCUCACCUGAGCUG